UAGCUCAGUUGGUUAGAGCAUGGUGCUAAUACCACCAGGCUUGUGGGUUCAAUCCCCAU
rnacentral:tRNA from 1 species